UGCAUUGAUGAACAACCAUAAAUUUUUAUUAACUUUCGUUCUACCGAAUAUUACAUCAAACGAUGUUGGGGAGAAACUUUUAUAUAUCUGAAA
rnacentral:snoRNA from 1 species